GGGCUGAGGACAGGAUCAUGGGCUGUGUCUGCCUGGCGCCCUGGGAUCUGGGGCCUGUGCUGUUGGAAUCGCACUCCUGGGCCCACAGCUC
rnacentral:pre_miRNA from 1 species